CGUAACAAGGUCUCCGUAGGUGAACCUGCGGAGGGAUCAUUACACAAAUAUGAAGGCGGGCUGGAACCUCUCGGGGUUACAGCCUUGCUGAAUUAUUCACCCUUGUCUUUUGCGUACUUCUUGUUUCCUUGGUGGGUUCGCCCACCACUAGGACAAACAUAAACCUUUUGUAAUUGCAAUCAGCGUCAGUAACAAAUUAAUAAUUACAACUUUCAACAACGGAUCUCUUGGUUCUGGCAUCGAUGAAGAACGCAGCGAAAUGCGAUAAGUAGUGUGAAUUGCAGAAUUCAGUGAAUCAUCGAAUCUUUGAACGCACAUUGCGCCCUUUGGUAUUCCAAAGGGCAUGCCUGUUCGAGCGUCAUUUGUACCCUCAAGCUUUGCUUGGUGUUGGGCGUCUUGUCUCUAGCUUUGCUGGAGACUCGCCUUAAAGUAAUUGGCAGCCGGCCUACUGGUUUCAGAGCGCAGCACAAGUCGCACUCUCUAUCAGCAAAGGUCUAGCAUCCAUUAAGCCUUUUUUUCAACUUUUGACCUCGGAUCAGGUAGGGAUACCCGCUGAACUUAAGCAUAUCA
rnacentral:rRNA from 1 species